GGUUAAGCGACUAAGCGUACACGGUGGAUGCCCUGGCAGUCAGAGGCGAUGAAGGGCGUGCUAAUCUGCGAUAAGCGCCGGUAAGGUGAUAUGAACCGUUAUAACCGGCGAUACCCGAAUGGGGAAACCCAGUGUGAUUCGUCACACUAUCAUUAACUGAAUCCAUAGGUUAAUGAGGCGAACCGGGGGAACUGAAACAUCUAAGUACCCCGAGGAAAAGAAAUCAACCGAGAUUCCCCCAGUAGCGGCGAGCGAACGGGGAGGAGCCCAGAGCCUGAAUCAGCAUGUGUGUUAGUGGAAGCGUCUGGAAAGGCGCGCGAUACAGGGUGACAGCCCCGUACACAAAAGCGCAUGUGCUGUGAGCUCGAUGAGUAGGGCGGGACACGUGGUAUCCUGUCUGAAUAUGGGGGGACCAUCCUCCAAGGCUAAAUACUCCUGACUGACCGAUAGUGAACCAGUACCGUGAGGGAAAGGCGAAAAGAACCCCGGCGAGGGGAGUGAAAAAGAACCUGAAACCGUGUACGUACAAGCAGUGGGAGCACCCUUUGGGGUGUGACUGCGUACCUUUUGUAUAAUGGGUCAGCGACUUAUAUUCUGUAGCAAGGUUAACCGUAUAGGGGAGCCGUAGGGAAACCGAGUCUUAACCGGGCGUUAAGUUGCAGGGUAUAGACCCGAAACCCGGUGAUCUAGCCAUGGGCAGGUUGAAGGUUGGGUAACACUAACUGGAGGACCGAACCGACUAAUGUUGAAAAAUUAGCGGAUGACCUGUGGCUGGGGGUGAAAGGCCAAUCAAACCGGGAGAUAGCUGGUUCUCCCCGAAAGCUAUUUAGGUAGCGCCUCGUGAAUUCAUCUCCGGGGGUAGAGCACUGUUUCGGCUAGGGGGCCAUCCCGGCUUACCAACCCGAUGCAAACUGCGAAUACCGGAGAAUGUUAUCACGGGAGACACACGGCGGGUGCUAACGUCCGUCGUGAAGAGGGAAACAACCCAGACCGCCAGCUAAGGUCCCAAAGUCAUGGUUAAGUGGGAAACGAUGUGGGAAGGCCCAGACAGCCAGGAUGUUGGCUUAGAAGCAGCCAUCAUUUAAAGAAAGCGUAAUAGCUCACUGGUCGAGUCGGCCUGCGCGGAAGAUGUAACGGGGCUAAACCAUGCACCGAAGCUGCGGCAGCGACACUCAGGUGUUGUUGGGUAGGGGAGCGUUCUGUAAGCCUGUGAAGGUGGCCUGUGAGGGUUGCUGGAGGUAUCAGAAGUGCGAAUGCUGACAUAAGUAACGAUAAAGCGGGUGAAAAGCCCGCUCGCCGGAAGACCAAGGGUUCCUGUCCAACGUUAAUCGGGGCAGGGUGAGUCGACCCCUAAGGCGAGGCCGAAAGGCGUAGUCGAUGGGAAACGGGUUAAUAUUCCCGUACUUGGUGUUACUGCGAAGGGGGGACGGAGAAGGCUAUGUUGGCCGGGCGACGGUUGUCCCGGUUUAAGCGUGUAGGCUGGUUUUCCAGGCAAAUCCGGAAAAUCAAGGCUGAGGCGUGACGACGAGGCACUACGGUGCUGAAGCAACAAAUGCCCUGCUUCCAGGAAAAGCCUCUAAGCAUCAGGUAACAUCAAAUCGUACCCCAAACCGACACAGGUGGUCAGGUAGAGAAUACCAAGGCGCUUGAGAGAACUCGGGUGAAGGAACUAGGCAAAAUGGUGCCGUAACUUCGGGAGAAGGCACGCUGACACGUAGGUGAAGUGAUUUACUCAUGGAGCUGAAGUCAGUCGAAGAUACCAGCUGGCUGCAACUGUUUAUUAAAAACACAGCACUGUGCAAACACGAAAGUGGACGUAUACGGUGUGACGCCUGCCCGGUGCCGGAAGGUUAAUUGAUGGGGUCAGCGCAAGCGAAGCUCCUGAUCGAAGCCCCGGUAAACGGCGGCCGUAACUAUAACGGUCCUAAGGUAGCGAAAUUCCUUGUCGGGUAAGUUCCGACCUGCACGAAUGGCGUAAUGAUGGCCAGGCUGUCUCCACCCGAGACUCAGUGAAAUUGAACUCGCUGUGAAGAUGCAGUGUACCCGCGGCAAGACGGAAAGACCCCGUGAACCUUUACUAUAGCUUGACACUGAACAUUGAGCCUUGAUGUGUAGGAUAGGUGGGAGGCUUUGAAGCGUGGACGCCAGUCUGCGUGGAGCCGACCUUGAAAUACCACCCUUUAAUGUUUGAUGUUCUAACGUGGACCCGUUACCCGGGUUGCGGACAGUGUCUGGUGGGUAGUUUGACUGGGGCGGUCUCCUCCUAAAGAGUAACGGAGGAGCACGAAGGUUGGCUAAUCCUGGUCGGACAUCAGGAGGUUAGUGCAAUGGCAUAAGCCAGCUUGACUGCGAGCGUGACGGCGCGAGCAGGUGCGAAAGCAGGUCAUAGUGAUCCGGUGGUUCUGAAUGGAAGGGCCAUCGCUCAACGGAUAAAAGGUACUCCGGGGAUAACAGGCUGAUACCGCCCAAGAGUUCAUAUCGACGGCGGUGUUUGGCACCUCGAUGUCGGCUCAUCACAUCCUGGGGCUGAAGUAGGUCCCAAGGGUAUGGCUGUUCGCCAUUUAAAGUGGUACGCGAGCUGGGUUUAGAACGUCGUGAGACAGUUCGGUCCCUAUCUGCCGUGGGCGCUGGAGAACUGAGGGGGGCUGCUCCUAGUACGAGAGGACCGGAGUGGACGCAUCACUGGUGUUCGGGUUGUCAUGCCAAUGGCACUGCCCGGUAGCUAAAUGCGGAAGAGAUAAGUGCUGAAAGCAUCUAAGCACGAAACUUGCCCCGAGAUGAGUUCUCCCUGAGACUUUAGGUCUCCUGAAGGAACGUUGAAGACGACGACGUUGAUAGGUCGGGUGUGUAAGUGUAGCGAUACAUUGAGCUAACCGAUACUAAUGAACCGUGAGGCUUAACCUU
rnacentral:rRNA from 1 species